AUUGAACGCUGGCGGCAUGCCUUACACAUGCAAGUCGAACGGCAGCACGGGAGCAAUCCUGGUGGCGAGUGGCGAACGGGUGAGUAAAGUAUCGGAACGUGCCCAGUCGUGGGGGAUAACGUAGCGAAAGUUACGCUAAUACCGCAUACGAUCUAUGGAUGAAAACGGGGGAUCGCAAGACCUCGCGCGAUUGGAGCGGCCGAUAUCAGAUUAGGUAGUUGGUGGGGUAAAGGCUCACCAAGCCGACGAUCUGUAGCUGGUCUGAGAGGACGACCAGCCACACUGGGAAUGAGACACGGCACAGACUCCAACGGGAGGCAGCAGUGGGGAAUUUUGGACAAUGGGCGAAAGCCUGAUCCAGCCAUGCCGCGUGCAGGAUGAAGGCCUUCGGGUUGUAAACUGCUUUUGUACGGAACGAAAAGGUUUGGGCUAAUAAGCUGAGCUCAUGACGGUACCGUAAGAAUAAGCACCGGCUAACUACGUGCCAGCCGCCGCCGUAA
rnacentral:rRNA from 1 species